CUUCUUUGUUGCUCGUAGUUGACAUGAGAGGAGAGAGACACAGCUGCUGCUAAUCUGUAGCCCCACCUCCGGAAGUCUUACACUGAAGCACUAACUGGACUUGUGCAGAAUUAUGCAGAAUUCAGCUCAUUUACUGAAUCCAUUUGUAACAAGAGAUCCUAGUGAAAGCCUUGCUGCCAAAGAUCAAGUCAAGUCAGCCUAGAACCCUCUUCAGGACUUCUUGGGAGGAUGACUACAAGGCUGUGCUGGGGACAAAACCUACUCUUUCCAUUCUCCCCAUAAUGUUCCCACCAACUAUCAGGAGGUCCCCAUGGGUUCCUGACCAUCCCCUAGAAGUGAGACGGUGUACAACAUAUUCUUACUGCCAGCUGCCCCUUCGCUGGGCUUUUGCUAUCUGAGGGUUUCUCCUCCCAACUGGAGUGCACCCUACUUCCUGAAUUCUCCAGAGAACAUGCUGUGGCCAGUCACAGUGAGCACUGAUGAUGAGCCCUGACCCCCUACACCUCCCAGGUAAGCUACUUCUGAGGGGUGUGUUCCUUGAUCCCCAGCAGCCUCAUAAAAGACCCUUGUGACUUGCCUUCCCGCUUCCUUUUCUGCCAGUUCUCAUCUCAGUCUAACUACUUGGGAGAGGGAAGGACUCAAAAUGACCAUAUAAGGUUUUUUUGUUUUUUUGUUUUUUUUUUUUACAGUAGAAAGAAUGAUUCUCUGAAAAUGGGAUUCUAGGGUCUGGGUGGUAUAGAGUGCAGGUGUUGCAAUGCACAAGGAUUUGGAUUCAAGACCAUGGUCCUCACCUGCAGGGGGAAGCUUCACAAGCUGUAAGUAUCUCUCUUUCUCACACUUUGCCUCCACCUUUCUUACUGAUUUCUCUCUGUCAGUCUGUAGCCUUCCCCCAUGUCCUAGCGCCUCCCUGCCCCACACACUCCCAAACGCACACACUGGAACAGUUUCCAUGGAGGUCCAACCUUGGCUGGCCAAGGAUAAGUGAUUUCUUGGUU